GGCCCGGUUGGACGGUCUGCUCUAGGGUUUGUACUGUCCUGACUGGGUCUUACCUUCUGGUGAGCUGUCGUGUUGUUCAUUCAGUGCGGCAGGGAACCAGGACUUUUACUUUGAAAAAAACAGAGUGUUUAAAGCAGGCAUCCGCUUGAAUGCAUUAGCAUGGAAUAAUAGAAUAGGACUUUGGUUCUAUUUUGUUGGUUUCUAGGACCGAAGUA
rnacentral:rRNA from 1 species